UACAGAGGGUGCGAGCGUUGUCCGGAAUCACUGGGCGUAAAGGGCGCGUAGGCGGCUCAUGAAGGCUGUGGUGAAAGUCCGGGGCUCAACCUCGGAUCGGCCGUGGCGACUCGUGGGCUGGAGCACUGUAGAGGCGGGUGGAAUUCCGGGUGUAGCGGUGGAAUGCGUAGAGAUCCGGAAGAACACCAGUGGCGAAGGCGACUUUCUGGCUUAUAACUGACGCUGAGGCGCGAAAGCGUGGGGAGCAAACAGG
rnacentral:rRNA from 1 species